rnacentral:rRNA from 1 species
GUAGGGAAUAUUGGGCAAUGGAUGAAAGUCUGACCCAGCCAUGCCGCGUGCCGGAUGAAGGCGCUCAGCGUUGUAAACGGCUUUUAUUCGGGAAGAAGAGCAGGGAUGCGUCCCUGUGUGACGGUACCGAAUGAAUAAGCACCGGCUAACUCCGUGCCAGCAGCCGCGGUAAUACGGAGGGUGCGAGCGUUGUCCGGAUUUAUUGGGUUUAAAGGGUUCGUAGGUGGCCAAAUAAUUCAGUGGUGAAAUACGGUUGCUCAACAAUCGAGGUGCCAUUGAUACUGCUUGGCUUGAAAUAAUUGGAGGCUGCCGGAAUGGAUGGUGUAGCGGUGAAAUGCAUAGAUAUCAUCCAGAACACCGAUUGCGAAGGCAGGUGGCUACGAUUUAUUUGACACUGAGGCACGAAAGCAUGGGGAGCAAACAGGAUUAGAAACCCCUGUAGUCC